UGGGAGAACCAUCUCGCUGCAGCUGCCAUUGUACCUGGACAUGGUUUCUCGCCAACCCUGCUCUACGCUUCAACCUGGGCUCCAAGCUCUUUUGGGUUCUGAUCCAGUUCUCUAUACAAUGAGCCUGUGAUCUCCUACAAAUGAAAAAUAGUCACCGUCCUGUCUCCCAGGCCUAGAGAUGCAAUUGCUCCAUCAAAAGAACCUCAACCAAUCAUGCUGUUUUCAACUUUGUACUGAACUCUGCUUUCUGGUACCUAUGCCUCCAAGUCCUGAACUUCUCAGGAGAGCAGAUCUGCUUCGUCAUUAAGUUUUCCCCUCUGCAGAUACAGGUGGAAGUUUUUCUCUUCUUGGCUAAGAGUCUUGCUAAGUGGCUCAGUGGCCCAGGCUGGGCUUGAACUUGCGACCCUCCUGCCUCAGCCUCCCAGACCACACCAUCAUGCCCAUCCAUGUCCGCCACGGUCUAACGAUGUGACCUUCAGCAAGCUUCUCCGUGAGGCGGAAAUUCAGCCCUCCCUCCUCGCUGCUCAGCAUGGCGUGAUUCCCCAGGCAAGCUUGCUCCACGGGAUGUGUUCUAGCCCGGCCCAACUCAGACGCGCACAGCUGGGUGUCCGCCGACCGGGUGGGCGAGAAGAGGGAGCAGCCCACGCCCUGCGGAGCGUCCUUCAGCCCGGAGGGAAUCCUGAUGUCUGCGAUGGCGCAGGAGGUCUCGCGAGAGGCCGGAAAAGCAGACGCUGCGGCCUCAUUUACCUGUGGCACUGACAGCACCGAAGGCUGUAACUCAAGACUGUGUAAGUCAAAACUAAAAUUCCGGUUGUAACCCAAGUUGUUUGUAUGUCAGGAGGUUGUUACUCGAGUGUCCACUGUAUGCUCUAGGAUGAGCAGGCCCUGGGGUCUGGGACGGCCCGGGGGAACAGUUGCU
rnacentral:lncRNA from 1 species